rnacentral:misc_RNA from 1 species
AAGUCGUAACAAGGUUUCCGUAGGUGAACCUGCGGAAGGAUCAUUAUCGAGUUUUUUGAACGGGUUGUAGCUGGUCUCUUCGCAGAGACAUGUGCACGCCUGGCUCAUCCAUUCUCAACCUCUGUGCACCUUUUGUAAGAAACGGUGAAAGCCAGCUUUAAUCGGUUGGUGGAAACCUUUUCUUAUGUUUAUUACAAACGCUUCAGUUAUAGAAUGUUUAUAGUGUAUACAACACACAAUCAAUAUACAACUUUCAGCAACGGAUCUCUUGGCUCUC